rnacentral:rRNA from 1 species
UAUCCUACGGGAGGCAGCAGUGGGGAAUAUUGCACAAUGGGCGAAAGCCUGAUGCAGUAACGUCGCGUGAAGGAAGACGGUUUUCGGAUUGUAAACUUCUGUUCUUAGUGAAGAAUAAUGCCGGUAACUAAGGAGCAAGCCACGGCUAACUACGUGCCAGCAGCCGCGGUAAUACGUAGGUGGCAAGCGUUGUCCGGAAUUACUGGGUGUAAAGGGAGCGUAGGCGGGAAGACAAGUCAGCUGUGAAA